CUCCCCGCAUGACGUACCAUACGUUUCCUGCAGAUUUCCUGGCACACCCUGGGCAAUAAUCGCAUUGCGACGGCGACGGCGCGGGCGCAGCAGCCGCGAGCCGUGCAUGCCGCUGUCCGGACGACGCUCUGUCAUCAUCAGCUUCGCCAAGCUAGACGCGGUCAAAUUCGUUGCAGUUAGAGUAUGCAGAGUCAUUUGGUGGAGUGGGCGAACGGAAAAUUGUUCGACAGCUGUGAAAAAUGGAGGCCUUGCUACUAACGCCACAAAUAUAGUGAAGUAACGACGAGCUCCGGCUGCG